AGGGUUUGAUCAUGGCUCAGGAUGAACGCUGGCGGCGUGCUUAACACAUGCAAGUCGAACGAAGCUGUUAAAAGGAAGCCUUCGGGUGAAAUUUUAAUAGACUUAGUGGCGGACGGGUGAGUAACGCGUGGAUAACCUGCCUUAUACAGGGGGAUAACGGAGAGAAAUUUCCGCUAACACCGCAUAAGACCACAGCACCGCAUGGUGCAGGGGUAAAAUAUUUAUAGGUAUAAGAUGGAUCCGCGUCCGAUUAGCUAGUUGGUGAGGUAAAGGCCCACCAAGGCGACGAUCGGUAGCCGGCCUGAGAGGGUGAACGGCCACAUUGGGACUGAGACACGGCCCAA
rnacentral:rRNA from 1 species